AAACAAUGCCUAAGAGAGGGCCCGCAUUUCUUUUUUUCGCGAGGCAUUUCACACAGGGGUGGUGCACCCUUCAUCGACACUUCGGCACAUCACAACACAAACACCACUCCACAACCACACACGACUGCCUUUCAGCUUCGACUGGUACUGACUGAUUCGAAAAUUGGUGUUUGGAAGGGAGCUUAAGCAGGAGGAGGAUGGCCGUGAGAGGGCGCUGCUUCGGCCACAACGGGACCAAACAGGGUCGACGAACUCGACAGAACGGCUAAGCCCAGAUGAACUCUUGUCAGCAGGGAUCAACUGCUGAAUGCGUCAAGUCACAACUCCUAUAUCCGUAGACAUUCGGCGAAAUCCUGCUGGCUCAGAUGUACCAGUAAUGAUCAAAAUGCAAACAGUUGCAUGCGUCCUUGAAUCAUGACAAGAGAAGAAAAAUGAUUUUCCAGUAGUGAAAAUCGCCGAUUUAUCUCAUUAUUGAAUUUAUUCUUUAAUUUAAAAAAAUAUCAUUAAAUGCAGGACUAUUUGUUUGCAAGACGGCACGUGCCGGAGGUUAAUUUGGUGUUGGAAUGAAAACCGGAAUUGUUCGAAGAGGCGGAAAUCGUGGAUAAGAUAAAAGGUCUGAUCGCGUUCCUGGUAAAGAUGACAUGGGAACAUGACAUGGAAACGUUACGGGACUUCUUGGACCCCGGUGAUUACAUGGCGGGUGAGCAACCGCGGAGGUGUAAGAUCGGUGAAAGCAUUUCUCCAAAACAUGAGGUGAUUCACCGUUGAGAAUAAAGCUUGAAAAAGCUCAGGCCUGCCGUUCUAAGGAAUGCCUUUUGAAAGACAACAAAAGCGAGCUGUCGUCAAAAAGGAAAAGCUACAUCUGCCCCAUCUUCGAGAGUGGCCAUUUUGGAAGAAAAGCAAAACACCACGUAUUGCAAAUACUGUCAGGCAAUAUUCCUAAACGAAACUAUGUGGAUCCAGAAUUCCCCCGUGUCAGAGAGAGCAGGCAAAAGGAUCUGCAUUUCUAAUAACAAUUAGUAUGACAAAAGAGAAUUAGUUUUAAUAACAAAUACUUUAUCUAACAAAUUUUUUGGUAUUCAGCCUUUUAAACACCCGAAGCGAAACAAAAUUGACCUAACACCCACAAUUGAUGGAAAGGUCGUCUUUAUAAAUUAUAAAGAGAUGACAGCCAGGAAACAAUGAAUACUUGCAUGAUGAUGAAGGACGAUUCAAGACCCAGGAAAUGCUCAGCAUCACUUUCCGUUACAUCGUUUUCCCAAUGACAACCACAUUCUUUGACUAUUGCGAAUGCAAGAGUUCGUAAUAAAACGGUCUUCCUGUUCCCAGAAGGAUGACCAGGACGUCCGGGAUUAUGAUUUACUGUCUGGCCAAGGGUUGAUGACACUGCUGAAAGGACGGUGGCAAAACAAAACCCACCCCAAGCCGAAGGUGAGAGCUUAUGGAUUUCCUGAUGCCAAAUUGGGUGGGCGUUAUUUGAUUUACAACGGAAUAACGGAUGAUUUCGUCGAUACAAUAAAAUUUACUACGUCUAAAAACCAAAAGUUCUCAAGCCUUGCUUAAAAUACCUGAAUAGACCACCCGUAUUAUAGUGGUUAACGGUAUAUUGUACUACUCAGUGCAAUAAACAAUCAUACA